UCUGGAGUCUGGACCACUGGAGGGCACUGUGGUUCUGUCAAGUCAACCCUCACAGUGAAGAGCACAGCGUCAGUGAAGAGUCUCGUUUGUGUACUGAAGGAAGCCUCCACAAAACUUCGGAAACAUAAGGAUGAAAAAGUUUGCUCUUAAAUCACAGAUGUAAUCUCAACAGCAUAAGUGUGUUCGAGAGGCUUACAGACGGAGUCUGUCUGUGUUACAUGCGCGUGGGUCCCGAGAGAUGUCAAAGAUGCAAAUGAGAGCCCAUCUGCACAAAAGGCAUUGUCUUCAUUCUGCUGUAAAGAUGAGUCCUGGCUGCUUGCUGUGUCAUGGCAUUUCAACACUAUCAGAAAAUCAUUACAGUUCAGAGAGGAACAGAAACUAGAAAACCUCUGAAUGUCCGCGAACUUCAGAUUCUUAGAGCAGAGGAAGGUGAUGCCUCUCGCUGUGGUUUCAAAGGAUGCGGACCCGUGAUGGAUCUUUGUUCAUCUGCCCUGUUUUGUCCCUCCCCUUGUACUCAUUCAUCUGCUGGCGAAAAUGAAGAGGCUGUCGCCAUUCAGCCGCCAUUAAUUUUUCAUGAAAAUAUCAAUUAUGUCCUGUAAUAGAGAACUCGCAUGCGCCGCCCAGGAGGGAUCGGCCAUCCUCUAUGCAAUCAUCCCAAAUUUGGCCUUGUGCUCCGCUUAUACCCUUCAUCCCCAGCUCCCUCCACCCUGAGAGCUGUACUCUCCUAAUUAGUCACCAGGAGAAGAGGGGGCUCUAUUAGGACCAGUGAUGAAUCAUUAUCUUCCGUAAUUGGCCCUCCAGUCCCCCAGGGGGUGCCCUGCUCCAGACUGCCCAGCUGGAGGAGCCUAUCCUACCACGGAAUGAAACUGCAGCUGAAAAUGUUUGCUGAAGAAGCUGUAGAGGUCUGCUUCUCUUUCUGUAAAAGAGGAGACAAAUCAGCAAAUUAAGUCAGCAACUUAGAAGAAAGCAGCAUCUUCAUGGAUGAGAGAGCGUGGAAGCACUUGGCUCUUGUGCACAGCAGCAGAAUGAAGAUGUCACUUGUGACAAACUGGCUACUGUUGUGAGCUCUCGGCCCAUCACUUACACUGUCAGUGUGUUUGUUUAUGUACUGUACAUCCAUGUUCUUGUAAACACUGGAACGUCUGGAAUCUGAGACCUACAGCCACAUUAAGACACAUCAGUCUCCUGCUAAAAGGACUUUAGAAGAUACUUUAGAAGAUCCCAAAAUAUGAGGAUCCCAUUGCAAUGGACCAUGAAAGAGAAAAAGGAUGAAUUCCUAACCAAUAGUGACAAAGAGAAGCAGAGACAAGAUAACACUAACAGAAAGAGAAUGCAAGAGAAGAAAGCGCUGGUUAUGUGAGCGAGCGCUCCGGAGGCAGAGUGAGCGACACUGCCCUGUUCGGUGACAGCACUCGCUGUGGGGCUUCUGUCCCCUCAGACAUUCAGGGGUGAAGGAAAGAGCGGCGAGGGGAAGGGGAGGAAUCACUCCAGGGGUGGCAGCGCUAGAGGAGGGGCGGCGAGGAGCAGUCAUUCCCAUGUGGCUCAGGCCCAUCAGCACAGUCAAAUCAUAAACCGUGAAGCCUUGAAGAGCGUGACUCCAUCCUAACAAUAAUCCUGGAGAUUCUACAGCACAUACUGUGGCUGAUAAGGCCAAUUAGAGCUCAUUUCUACCCAGACCUCGGUGUCAUCCCCUGUUAUUGAACGCUACAGCAGCAGGUGACGAGAUCUCUUCUGGUGAUAGAAAGCUCUCCCUCAGCAGGUUCCGUUAAUAAGCCUGUCAGAGAGGCCAGGGAGAGCCCGUCCAGAGCAGGUUAUCUCCUCACCACACACCCACGUCUCCCCCUGACAGCGUCUGGCUGGCCGCUCAUCGGCCCUUUGAAACCUCAGGAGCGCUGGGCCGCCUUCUGUAGGCCUUCGAGGCAGCCCUGUCAUUUGAACUGGCUAAUUCCAGCAUCGGGGGGCAGAAAAGGGCCAGAGGACUCGGCGGCUGACAGUCCCGUCAGCACAUGCGAGCCAUCGCUUUGGGUUUAAACGUGGGCAUCUCUCCUGAGGUGGUCGCGCGUUUAUCAUAUCGUGUGUGUGGAUUCAACUGCCCCUCGCGGUGUGAGACGCUUUUGUGUGCCUGGUUUCUCCAUCUGUGCUGGCCUGUCUGGUAGCGCCAGUCUGGAUCUGUCUGCCCUGCACAGCACGAAAUAUGUGUGUGUUUGUGUGUGUGUGUGUGUGAAGCGAUUAGGUCAAUAAGGAAGGUUGAUAUCAUGUGGGAGUUUAAGCAGACAGAGUCUUUAAUAAAUAAUAACCUGUAUGAUUGAAGCUUAGCCAGGUUCUGUACACAGGUGGACAUCGCCUUCAUUUCUGGGAAAUGUAUUAAAAUCCUUUUCAAAAGACGUAAUUGAAAACCCAGGGACAAGAUUAACAACUUGGCGGUUGUGGAAUUUGAUGGUUUAUGAAUAACAAUGCUCCAACGAUUUUUUUUUCUCAUGAAUAUUUAAAAUGUCAAAUAUUAAUCAGAUAUGGGAUGGAAUUUAGUUUGCAGAUAAGAUGUUAAUGCUGCAGCUGCUGCUGUUGUUAUAAGCAGGGAUUUGUUUACUCUGUGUAUUCUUGAAUGUUAUUAUUUGUCAGAUUUAAUAUAUCUUUAUAUAGCAUUUUAUUCUAUAUUUGUAUUCUUUUCUUUUUGAUCGUAUACCAUCUGAUCAUUGUUAGAGGUAGUUAUUGAUCUGUUCAAACCAGGGAUUUUGGCAUCACUAGUGCUAUGUUUGAUUCCAAUCUAUUUAAAGUCAGAUGAAGUGAAAAUUCACCUAUUUUUCAAAUGCAUCUAUUUUUUUUAAAUGCAUCUUAUUGAUCUUAUUAUAAAUAAUUUGCCCAUGCAUUUUUAUUUAUUUGUAUCUUUUUGUGAGCUUGUCAUUUUUGAUCACAUUUCAUCUUUUAAUAUUCUGGUUAGAUGCCAUGCUUCUUUCUGUUGAGAUUCACAUAAACCUCACUUCUUUCUUAAUUAACAUCAGUAUAUUUUUUAUUAAAUCUGAGUUGUCUAAUCCUGCUCUUUGGAGGCCCAGAGUUUAGUGUCCUGUGGAGGUUGGUACCCAAAUCCAAUGAAACACACCUGAACCAGCUAAUCGUGGUCUUUAGAAACUUGCAGGCAGGUGAAAACUAAUCUCUGCAGGACACUGGAUAAAUGUUGGAUACCACUUGAA